AGGAUUUUUGUGCCUAAGUUCGGCCCAAGGUCCUGCAAGCCGGCCCU
rnacentral:sRNA from 1 species